UGAGACACAGCGCGGGACGGGUUACUCUCGCGUGAGACGCAGCGCGGGACGGGUUACUCUCGCGUGAGACGCAGCGCGGGACGGGUUACUCUCGCGUGAGACGCAGCGCGGGACGGGUUACUCUCGCGUGAGACGCAGCGCGGGACGGGUUACUCUCGCGUGAGACGCAGCGCCGGACGGGUUACUCUCGCGUGAGACGCAGCGCGGGACGGGUUACUCUCGCGCGAGACGCAGCGCGGGACGGGUUAAUCUCAGGUGAGACGCAGCGCGGGACGGGUUACUCUCGCGUGAGACGCAGUGCGGGACGGGUUAAUCUCGCGCGACACGCAGUGCGGGACGGGUUAAUCUCAGAUGGGGACACUGAGCCUCAGAGAGAAGAACGAUGUGGCCAGGGUCCCGCAGCGAGGAUGCAGCAGAAUCAGGAUUGGAACCCAGACCUGUCUGACUCCAGAGCUUUCGGGGACUAGGAUUCUUUCUGCAUGUCUUUCUCUCUCGCCAAGAGAUAGGGUCUUGCUCUGUGGCCCAGGCUGGAGUCCAGUGGUGCAAUCACAGCUUGCUAGAGCCUUGACCUCCUGGGCUCAAGUGAUCCUCCUGCUUCAGCCUCUGGAGUAGCUGAGAUUACAGAUGGAAUCUCUAGCCGGACUUCUAACAGUGCCAGUUUUUGAAUUUCCCCUGAAGGACUCAAGGAGUGCAAGUUCUUUCACGUCCAGCUUCUUUUGCUCACACUAUAUCCACAAGAUUCAUCCACAUAGCUGUAAAGACUCCAAAGCUCAGAAGAGUAAGUUGACUUGCUCAGAAACACAGAGCCAGUGGUUGUGUGGUGCAGACAAGAAGCCAGGAGCCUGUGAUUCAAGGCCAGGAAUACCACCAUGUCUUGCUGUAUAUCUUUCAGGGCUCUGUGACUCAGUUUUUCUGCAGGUUACUGUAUGAUUCUCUGGAGCAGGGUACAAGGUAUGUUUCCACUGUGUGCCUCCCCUGUCCCUCACCCACAAGCCACCUUCUUCUCUUGGGGCAGCUGACACAUCUCACAGGCCCUUGGAACAAGGUGGGGGACAGCCAGGAGGGUGUGUGUGUGUGUGUGUGUGUGUGUGUGUGUAUGUAGGGGGGCGGCUAGUUUUGUGCCAGCAGCAGGUGCUGCUGUGCAAAAAGCUCCAGCCCUGCUGGAUGGGGCCUGGAUGUUGGCUUCUCUGAGUAGUAAGCAAUCAAUCGAUGAAGUGUGGUUGAGUGCAUUCAAAACGCUUGGGGAAAGUGGGGCUGGGAAGAGUCUCUAUAGCAUGAUAGUAUUUGAAGAAGCCAAAAAGAAGAGUAGGAACUUCCAUGAGUAACAGGUUGGGAAAUUUCCAAGGGAAGCUAUAAUGGGCAUUUGUCUUUUCCCCGCUCCUGUCUGACUAAUUUGUUGCUUUGGGAUGCAUCACCCCUCUCUUAUUCUUAGCCCUGGGGUUGGGGUUAGAGUGAGAGUGGAACUCACUCUCCACUGCAGGGAGUGCCCUGAUUGGCUUAUACCAGUCAUCAUUUUCUACUGUCAAGUCGUAGUGAUUGGUUCAAGGCUAGACCAUGAGAGCCCAUCACAAGCCAAGGAGAUGCAAGAAGGCAUCUGCUGGGAUUUCUAGAAAAGAGAUACUUCCUCUUUCUUCUACUUAAGAGUGAGAAGUAAAGAUAUAAUCUCUGUGAUAGAUACGGUCAAAUUGUUACCAGGUCAAGAGACUCUGGAGCCUCUGGGUUCCUUAUAGGAGACACCUUGAAGCUUGCUGGAUGCCUCAGAGGGAAGUGAGAGAGAAACAAGCACCAGAGAAGGCAGAGUGAGGAAACAGAGAAAUUGGGACUUUGGAGACAUUGUUUGAGCUGCUGGAUCAAGCCUUGCCUGAAAGCAGCAUAUCUGGACUUCAACAUGUAGUUAAUAUAUUUCUCUUUUUUAUUGGAUGAGGGUUAGGUUUAUUGAGGUAUAAUCUACUCAUGGUAAAAUCCACAUUCUUCAGUGUAUAGUUUUAUGUAUUUUGACAAACACAUAUAGUCAUAUAACCACUACCACAAAUUGGAAUAUCAGACAGUUCCAUUAACCACUCCCACCCCAUCAAAUGUUCUUAUAGCCCCUCCCUGUCCUAUUAUUUUAAAAAAGAUUUUGGCUUAGGCCAGUUCAAAUUGGGUUUUCUGUAAUGUGCAUACCAAGUGUCUGACUAAUAAAAGUCCCCAAGAUCACCCCCUCCCUCCUUUCCUUCCUAGCCCCUUUUGGAAAAGAUUAGUUAAAUGUUUACCAUGCCCCAGACACUGUGCUAGCCCCAGCCCUCAGUCCCACUCCUCUCUCCAGCAAUCAGUUUGGGUAUCCCCAUUUAGGUUUGGAGGAGAUGAUUGCCAAGAGAAUAACCUGGUUUGCUGGAGUGGGGCUGCUGGCCAAAAUGCUGUUUGUCCCUUUCAGCCCCACUCUGAGGAGCUUCUGGGAGAGUUGGCUAGGUCUUUCCUAAGCCUGGGAAGCAGAAGCCGGGGCGGAUUAACAAUGCCAAUUACUAAGAUCCUGCAGUCGAUGAAAGGCUGGUGUUUUGCAGCCACUUCCUUAGCUGGACAAUGAGGGAGCUGACCUUUCUGUGCUCAAUAAACCAAUUGCCACUAGAGAGUAGGUUCCCUGGUGACCAGGAACCAAAAGCCAAGUUGCAGAUAUCAUUUCUGGGGGGUGGUGGCAGGGGGAAGGAGAAAGGAGAUAGGUGCUGGGGGUUCGGAAGCCUGGGUUUCGAUCCUGCACCACUAUGUGGCUUGGGGCAGUCACUCCCUGAGCACUUCUGCACUUAGUAGGCACCUGCUGUGUGCCUGGACCCUGUAGACCAAUGUCAUUUGUGGUCAUCUUACAAAAGGACUCAGGGAUGCAGAGGAGGAGACUGCAGGAUCACUUUGUCCAAUCCUCUGGUUGUACAAGUGGGGAAAGCAAAUCCCAGAGAAAGACUUAGCCCCUGAAGGCUGCCCAUGGGACGGUCCUUCCACAGUAACCUGUGCAUCACACUUGGUGGUUUACAGAGCCCUCUCUGACCCACUCUGACCACAGUCUCCCCACCGUCCCCGAGGAGACUAGAUCUGGAAGAGGAUAUUUCUUGGAUCUGGUCACCUGGCAGAGAUGAAACUCUGAUGAGAGGCUGCCCAUGCUUCACCUGCCUCCCUCCCCCUGAAGCACCUGAUCCAGGGUUGGCCUGCACCAGGAGCACUUUCCUUCUCCCAGGAGGAGAUCUGCCCUUCUCUAACUCCAACACUUUGUUAGAACCCUGAAGGUAGAGGAGCCAGACAGACCUGGGUUUGAGUCCUGACUCUGGCACUGAUGGACUGCGGGACUCUGCCCUUUACCUUAAGAUCUCAGGCCAGGUGCGGUGGCUCAUGCCUGUAAUCCCAGCACUUUGGGAGGCCGAGGUGGGCGGAUCACGAGGUCAGGAGAUGGAGACCAGCCUGGCCAACAUGGUGAAUCCCUGUCUCUACUAAAAAUACAAUAAUUAGCCGGGCCUGGUGGCGGGUGCCUGUAAUCCCAGCUACUCAGGAGGCUGAGGCAGGAGAAUUGCUUGAACCCAGGAGGCAGAGGUUGCAGUGAGCCGAGAUCAUGUCACUGCACUCCAGCCUGGGUGAUAGAACAAGAUUCCGUCUCAAAAAAACAAAAAAAACUCAGGAUUCAAAGAGAUGGUGGAUGUGAGGAUGAACCUGCCCAGCCCUGCCUUACCUUAAGCCACGAAUGUGAGGGCUCCAGAUACAUCUGUGGACGUGACUGAGACGCGCCUGGGCUGCCUUCUCAUUUCUGGCCUCUGUGCUUCUGAGAGCCCUCUUCUCUCAAUUGAAGCCCCCUUCCUACCCCUGCCAUUCUUUUGCCCUUCCAAUUCCUGUAUCCCAGGAGUAAGGCUGGAGAAUGAGUGGAAAGAAGACAUCUUUGCUUGGGAAUCUUUCAGAUGCCAGCUGGCAUGGGUUUCUGCCCUGGCUUUGAGCUGAGCCUCAGCAAGGACUGAUCCCCUGCCUGCAGCAGGUAGGUCCUGGUCAUGCCAGGGAGGCCCCUCUGUCUAGAUGGGAGGGAAUGUCCACAUCCCACUGCAGGAAGACCCAGUAAAGGCCCAUCUGUGUCCAGCAUCUUCUGUGCGCUAGGGUUUUCCUCACUCAACCCUGAUCCCAAGUUACAUGGUUAGCACUCUUAACCCCAUUUUACAGAAGAGAAAACAGAGGCUUGGAGAGACUUAACCACCAUCCCAGGAUUGCGCACAGAAACCUAGAGAGUGUUGGUACCUGGGUCCGAUGUCGCAGCUGUUUCUGCUUUCUGGGUCACCUGGGCAAGCCAUGCCCCCUUCUCUGGAGCUUUGGUAACCCAGAAGCACAAAAGGAGGCUGUGAGUGAACUAGUCAGUGGUUCUCAAGCUUGAGUGCACAUCAGAAAGUUCUGGAGGGCUCGUUACAACACAGAUCACCGGGCUCACCCCCAGCAAUGAAUUGCUGAUUCAUUAGGUCAGGGUUGGGGCCCAAGAGUGUGCAUUUCUGACAAGUUCCAGGGAGAUGCUGAUGCUGAUGGUCCAGGGACCACACUUUUGAGAACCACUUGGUUGGAUGAACUCAGAUUCUUUUGAGUAGUGACAUUGAAUGGUUUCUUCCAAGUACUGCUGAGUCCGCUGGUUUCCCUUGUGAUCCGUGACCCACUUCCCCAGUGACUCUGCUCACAUGGGUCCUGACAGAUGAUGUCCUGCGAGUUUUCUGGCAAACCCAGAGGAGAAGUCCAGAGAGUGGAUCCGAGGGCUUUGCAGCAAUGGAGUAGGCUUUCAGCAAACUCAAACAUGGCACAGGUGAGACGAUGGCAUAGAGCUUCGGGAAUCAAUAUUCUCGUGCAGCGUUGGAGAGCAGGGCUAGGGAGUGGCCAGGGGGGUCGAGGUGACAGCUCCUCGGAAGCCCCCACCCCUCCGCCACCCCAUCAGGAUUUGCGCUGCGUCUGCCAGGCUGCUCUGAUAUAUUGGCCCUCUCUUGGGAGCCUCCCAACUUGCCAUUGGUAAACAAAGCCUUUAUUUCCCAGGCCAGUGGGGAAAAAUUUCAGACCUUUAUAAUUAAGUGUCCCGGUGAAGGGCAGCUGCCGAAUUCUGGCGCUGGGUGCCCGUCAGGCUGGUGAUGGAUGGCAACAACACAUCAUCCCAGCGGCAGCCCGGCUGUGAGCUAUGGGGGUCAUAUAUCACAGCAGGCCUGGCUGGUCUUCCCUGUACACCAUGGAGGCCACAGUCGGCAGGCAGCUUGGGCUCUGUCUGGGGUUGGGGGUGAAGAGGGGCAUGGGCUAGCCCGGGAGGCCCUUCCCUAUCUUCUUAUGGUUCAGAUGAGGAAGCUGGGGGCCAGAGUGGGCUGAGGUCAGUCCCACACCUAUUUUCUCCUGCCUCCAAUACCCUCACCAUCCAACCCCUCACUCUGGAAGACAUUGAGAAGCCUAACUUGAGUCUAUCCUUUUCCCCACUUCUUUGGUCCAACCCAUCAUCAACAUUCCUGUUGUUUCUGCCCCCUAAAUGUCUCCAGAAUUAAUCUACUUUUCUACUCAUCAUGAUCACCAUCCUUGUCUAAGCCACCACCUCUCCCUCUCUCUUGCUGUGCUCUCCUACUGUGGUUGGGAUGGAAUUGCCUGCUCCUGAAGGUGGCCAUGUGACUUUGUCACUAGAAUGAAGCAGAAGUAUCAAUGUGUCAGUUCCAGUCAAGACCUCCAGUGGCCUUGUGGCUUCCACUCUCUUGAGAUUCUGCCAUGGCUAUAAGAAGGACAUGCCCAGGCUAGCUUUCAAUCCCAGGAGAGGAUGAGAAAGCUAGGGGCAAAUUUGCUCCAGCUAAAUGCUCCAGCCAAGCCAAACAUAGAGAAGAACACUCCCCAAGCCAACUACUGACCCCUAGAAGUGUGAGCUAUAAUAAUAGAUGAUAGCUGUUACACACCAUCAAGUUUUGGGAUUGUUUCUUAUGCAGCAAAGCUAACUGAUACAUGUUGUCUAUAAGCCCUUGCAUGAUUUGGGCCCUUCUGACCUCUCCAAUCUCAUCUCCUGUCCUUCUCCUCUAUAAUUAUUGCUCUUCCCUCUCUCAGGGCCUUUGCCCAUAUAGUGCUUUCCAUCUGGACAGCUUUUGUCAUGUUUUUCUUCCUGCCCUUUAGGUCUCAGUAUAAAUGCCACCUCCUUAGACCUUCUUGGACCAUCCCAUCAAAAGUUAAGUUUCUCAGUCUAUUACAUUCUCUAUUUCAAUCUCUUGUUUAUGUGCUUCAUAAAAGUUAAAAUAAAAACAAGAACAGGCCGGGUUCAGCGGCUCAUGCCUAUAAUCCCAGCACUUUGGGAGGCUGAGGCGGGCAGAUCACCUGAGGUUAGGAGUUCGAGACCAGCCUGGCCAACAUGGGGAAACCCUGUCUCUACUAAAAAUACAAAAAAAUUAGCUGGGCAUGGUGUAAUCUCAGCUACUCUGGCAGAUAAGGCAGGAAAAUCACUUGAACCUGGGAGGUGGAGGUUACAGUGAGCCGAGAUUGCACCAUUGCACUCCAACCUGGGUAACAAGAGUGAGACUCCGUCUCAAAAAACAAAACAAAACAAAAACCCAAGAACAACUUAAUUAUUUUGUGUUUUCGUCCUUGCUGUUCCUUAUUAUUAUUAUCAUUUUCUGUCUCUCUUUUCUGCUGCGGGUUCCAUGAUGGCCAGAGCCAGCUCUUGGAGUCUCUCCUCUUCUUGCGUUUGUCCCUAGCACUGAGCUCAAUGCCUGGACAUAGUAGCUGCCCAGCAGGUAUAUGAUGGCUAAAUGUAAACUGGAUGUCUCACAGUGUGUUCAGGAUAGAGCCAGGAUAGAACCUGGCUCUUCUGGGAGAGAACACCGGUGCCUGCUUUGGGCUGACAAGGCCUUUAUGUGUGCAUUAAUGCUGUGCGAUUGGAAGGGCUGGAGUUGGAGGUGAGAGUAAACCUACAGAAAGGGGUCAUUAGGUGUGGUCUCUACAAAGCAGGGCAGGGGACAUACACCUGUCAGGUCAUCACUGUGUCCCUGGUGCUCACACCAUGCCUGUCCCAGAAACAGGCUUCAUAACUAUUGUCAGAUUAGCAGAUGAAAGAGGUAGGUUCCUAACUCAGGGCUGAGAUGGGCCUCCGGGGGCCUGUGACCCUUUGAAAUGGUGAGCACACUGAAGAGAUCACAGCUCUAUGAGCGGCUAUGUCACAAGACAGGUCCUAUGGAGCACUAAUGCCCUUCUGGUCUUCACAAAGUUAAUCAGAUCUCUUUCUUACAGACCUUUUCAGAGCCUUUAAUAUGCUAAUAAACUCUGGGAUUCCCAGAGGGGAUUAAGAGUGCUGAGUUGCCCAGUGGUAUUGACCAGGGGAUGCUUUUAUCAGUGACUAUUUUGUGGAAUUCUUGGUCUGCAGGACACACUGACCUGGAAUCAGGUCACAAACUACUGUCUCACAGGUCAAAUCCAGCUUCAGAUAUUUUUCACUAGGCCCUUGUAGGGUUUUAAAAGGCAAUAACUCUUAUUUAAACAUUUUUAUUUUUAUUUUUAAAUUUUUAUUUAUUUAUUUAUUUUUUUGAGACAGAGUCUCGCUCUAUCGCCCAGGCUGGAGUGUAGUGGGGCGAUCUUGGCUCACUGCAACCUCCACCUCCUGGGUUCAAGUGAUUCUCCUGCCUCAGCCUCCCAAGUAGCUGGGACUACAGGCCCACGUCACCAGACCCGGCUGAUUUUUUUUUAUUUUUAGUAGAGACGGGAUUUCAUGUUAGCCAAGAUGGUCUCCAUAUCCUGACCUCGUGAUCCGCCCACUUCGGCCUCCCAAAGUGCUGGGAUUAUAGGCGUGAGCCACCG